rnacentral:rRNA from 1 species
UACGGGGGGGGCAAGCGUUGUUCGGAAUUACUGGGCGUAAAGGGCUCGUAGGCGGCCAACUAAGUCAGACGUGAAAUCCCUCGGCUUAACCGGGGAACUGCGUCUGAUACUGGAUGGCUUGAGUUUGGGAGAGGGACGCGGAAUUCCACGUGUAGCGGUGAAAUGCGUAGAGAUGUGGAGGAACACCAGUGGCGAAGGCGACUCUUUGGUCUGUAACUGACGCUGAGGCGCGAAAGCGUGGGGAGCAAACAGG